UACGUAGGGGGCGAGCGUUAUCCGGAUUCAUUGGGCGUAAAGCGCGCGUAGGCGGCCGCCUAAGCGGAACCUCUAACCCCGGGGCUCAACCUCGGGCCGGGUUCCGGACUAGGCGGCUCGAGUGCGGUAGAGGAGAGCGGAAUUCCCGGUGUAGCGGUGGAAUGCGCAGAUAUCGGGAAGAACACCGAUGGCGAAGGCAGCUCUCUGGGCCGUCACUGACGCUGAGGCGCGAAAGCUGGGGGAGCGAACAGG
rnacentral:rRNA from 1 species